rnacentral:rRNA from 1 species
AUUGAACGCUGGCGGCAGGCUUAACACAUGCAAGUCGAACGAGUGGCGGACGGGUGAGUAAUGUCUGGGAAACGGCCUGAUGGAGGGGGAUAACUACUGGAAACGGUAGCUAAUACCGCAUACCAUCGGAUGAGCCCAGAUGGGAUUAGCUAGUAGGUGGGGUAAAGGCUAACCUAGGCGACGAUCCCUAGCUGGUAUGAGAAGAUGACCAGCCACACGUGAACUGAGACACGGUCCAGACUCCUACGGGAGGCAGCAGUGGGGAAUAUUGCACAAGGGGCGCAAGACUGAUGCAGCCAUGCCGCGUGUAUGAAGAAGGCCUUAGGGUUGUAAAGUACUUUCAGCGGGGAGGCGUUACCCGCAGAAGAAGCACCGGCUAACUCCGUGCCAGCAGCCGCGGUAAUUC